CCUACGGGGGGCUGCAGUGGGGAAUAUUGCACAAUGGGCGCAAGCCUGAUGCAGCCAUGCCGCGUGUGUGAAGAAGGCCUUCGGGUUGUAAAGCACUUUCAGCGGGGAGGAAGGCGGUGAGGUUAAUAACCUCAUCGAUUGACGUUACCCGCAGAAGAAGCACCGGCUAACUCCGUGCCAGUAGCCGCGGUAAUACGGAGGGUGCAAGCGUUAAUCGGAAUUACUAGGCGUAAAGCGCACGCAGGCGGUCUGUCAAGUCGGAUGUGAAACCCCCGGGCUCAACCUGGGAACUGCAUUCGAAACUGGCAGGCUAGAGUCUUGUAGAGGGGGGUAGAAUUCCAGGUGUAGCGGUGAAAUGCGUAGAGAUCUGGAGGAAUACCGGUGGCGAAGGCGGCCCCCUGGACAAAGACUGACGCUCAGGUGCGAAAGCGUGGGGAGCAAACAGGAUUAGAUACCCGGGUAGUC
rnacentral:rRNA from 1 species